rnacentral:rRNA from 1 species
GUGAGGAAUUUUCCGCAAUGGGCGAAAGCCUGACGGAGCAAUGCCGCGUGAAGGAUGAAGGCCUAUGGGUUGUAAACUUCUUUUCUCAGAAAAGAAUUAUGACGGUAUCUGAGGAAUAAGCAUCGGCUAACUCUGUGCCAGCAGCCGCGGUAAGACAGAGGAUGCAAGCGUUAUCCGGAAUGAUUGGGCGUAAAGCGUCUGUAGGUUGUUUAAAAAGUAUUCUGUCAAAGAUUAGGGCUUAACCCUAGAUAGGCAGAAUAAACUUUUAAGCUAGAGUUUGGAAGAGGCAGAGGGAAUUCCCGGUGGAGCGGUGAAAUGCGUAGAUAUCGGGAGGAACACCAAAGGCGAAGGCACUCUGCUGGGCCAAUACUAACACUGAGAGACGAAAGCGAGGGGAGCAAAUGGGAUUAGAAACCCUUGUAGUCC